rnacentral:rRNA from 1 species
GAAAAGCUCAAAUUUAAAAUCUCCCUUUCUUUGUCGCCCGAGUUGUAAUCUGGAGAAGUGCUUUCCGUGCUGGACCGUGUACAAGUCUCUUGGAACAGAGCGUCAUAGAGGGUGAGAAUCCCGUCUUUGACACGGACUACCAGUGCUUUGUGAUGCGCUCUCAAAGAGUCGAGUUGUUUGGGAAUGCAGCUCAAAAUGGGUGGUAAAUUCCAUCUAAAGCUAAAUAUUGGCGAGAGACCGAUAGCGAACAAGUACCGUGAGGGAAAGAUGAAAAGAACUUUGGAAAGAGAGUUAAACAGUACGUGAAAUUGCUGAAAGGGAAACGCUUGAAGUCAGUCGCGUCGGCCGGGACUCAGCCUUGCUUUUGCUUGGUGCACUUUCCGGUUGACGGGUCAGCAUCAGUUUUGAUUGUCGGACAAUGGCUGAGGGAAUGUGGCAUCCUCGGAUGUGUUAUAGCCCUUGGUCGCAUACGAUGGUUGGGACUGAGGAUCAUGGCACUUUGUGCUUAGGAUGCUGGCAUAAUGGCUUUAAACGACCCGUCUUGAAACACGGACCAAGGAGUCUAACAUGCAUGCGAGUGUUUGGGUGGAAAACUCGAGCGCGUAAUGAAAGUGAAAGUUGAGACCCCUGUCGUGGGGGGCAUCGACGCCCGGACCAGACCUUUUGUGACGGAUCUGCGGUAGAGCAUGUAUGUUGGGACCCGAAAGAUGGUGAACUAUGCCUGAAUAGGGUGAAGCCAGAGGAAACUCUGGUGGAGGCUCGUAGCGAUUCUGACGUGCAAAUCGAUCGUCAAAUUUGGGUAUAGGGGCGAAAGACUAAUCGAACC